rnacentral:rRNA from 1 species
AUGUCAUCAUUCCCUGUGCUGAAGAAUCGACCCAUUGAUCAAUGGAAAGUUACUGAGUUGAAGGAUGAACUUCGAAAGAGGAGGCUCCCUGUAAAAGGUCUGAAAGAAGAACUUGUGAGGCGUCUCUUUGAAUCUAUUCAGAGUGAAGAGGCAUCUGACGAAUCUGCUGAAGACGUCGGAGCCAAUGAAGGCGCACCCAUUGGUAAAGAUGCGAAAGAUGUGGGGGCGAAUGGACCGUCUGAUCAAGCACCUGAAGAACAUACUGCUAGUCAGAAAACUGCAGUUUCUGCUACAGAAGUUGGUCAGGAAACUAGGGUUCAUGCAACUCAGGAAACUGCAGUUCCUCUCCCAGAAGUUACUCAGGAAAUUAUGGCUUCGUCUGUGGAACAGUCCCCCGGGGAUAAUGUAGUGGCAAACCAUGAAUCCCUCUCAAAAGAAGCCCCAACAGAAAAAGGAGAUCAGCCAGAAGCAGUUGCUGGAGAAAAUUCUACAGUACAAGCAGGGCACCAGCACUCUGAAAGCAAUAAGAUGCACAUUGAGGAGACACCAGAGGUUGUCACCAAUGGAACAACUGUUGUCGCUGAUGUGACCAGUGCUGAUCUCAAGUCGGACUUGAUCUCUUCUGAAGCCAAGUCAGAUACUGCUGAAGCUAGCAAAACUGAUAAACAUGACACAUUACCAAAACCUGUGGAUGCCCAAAUACCAGAUGCUGAUCCUAUGGAAACUGAUGUUGCAGCUGCAUCAAUGAACAAUGAUGGGGAGAGGUUUGUUCCUGAGAAUGAUUUGGGCGACAAUACAUGGAUCGAUAAUGAAGUGUGCAGUUCUAACCUCAUGAAUGAGGAUCACAAGCCCAUUGUAUCAAAAUCAAAUAAUCAGGUACCUGAGGUUUGCCCAGAUCUAGGGUCUCCAAUUAAGUGUGAGUCAAUUUCUAGUGAUGAUAUAUCAAAUACCAAAAAGAAUAUAAAGGAUAACUUGAAUGCUAAUAAUUUUGAUUUAGAACUAGAGGUUAAGCCAGAUAUGGUCAAACCAUCAUCCGGCAUUACUUCCUUAGGUGGAGAAUUGCAGCCAUUGGAUGAUGACAAAGAGUUGGUCAAGAACCAGUUCUCUUUGGAAGACACAGAUUCCACUGCCAACGUGGAUGAAGUUGGCUCUCCAGAGAAACUAAAUUUAGACAGGAGUUCAGGUGAUGAGUCAAUGGAGGAUGAUGUUAUGGAGAUUAAGCAACUUGAUUUCAGUGUUAAAUAUGAUGAUCUCAGAGGAAAGACUGAGCCUAACUCAGAAUACGUGAAAGAGGUGUCUCUUCCUGAUUCUGUUGUCAAGAGCUCCUCUGCUGAUACAAAGGAAGUUAUAGCUGAAGAAAAUCCAUCAGCUUCAACUGAAAAGAGAAAAUUUCAAGCUCAAGAAACUGUUGCAAACACUGAGCCAAUCAAACGUCAGCGUCGAUGGGCUGCAGAUAGUGGCAAUGUUCCAGAAAGACAACCAUUGAGUCAAAGUGGUUCUGAUGCUCGUAAGGAUAUUCUCCAGCCUGCCUUAAAACGUUCUCUUGGCAGGUCUGAUUCAACAGCAAGUGGAGAUUCUCCAAAGGAGAGGAUUGUGCCACCAUCUCAGAAAUCUGCAACAACUUCCUUGAGAAUCGACCGGUUUGUACGCCCAUUUACCCUGAGAGCUGUGCAAGAGCUUCUUGGUAAAACUGGAUCUGUUUGUAGCUUCUGGAUGGAUCAUAUCAAGACCCACUGCUAUGUUACAUUCUCCUCGGUGGAGGAAGCUACAGCUACUCGUGAUGCUGUCUACAACCUGCAGUGGCCCCCGAACAAUGGCAAUUAUCUGUUAGCUGAAUUUGUUGAUCCCCAGGAAGUGAAACUCAAGCUUGAACCCCCUCCCCCUCCCCCAGCAGCAACAGCAGCGGCGGUUCCUAUUAGCCCAGCCACUACACCAAGGGAGGCUCCUUUUCAGCAAGGUCAGGCAAAUCAAAGUGUGCCUCGCCAAGCUGCUGCUACACCAAGGGAGCAAUUGCCGCCUCCACCACCCCUUGUGAAGCCUCCUACAUCUGAUCCAAGGGAGAAGCUCCCACCCACCCCAAAGAAGGCAGAACCUCCUGUGGUGACACUUGAUGAUCUCUUCAGAAAGACACAAUCCUCUCCAAGGAUUUACUAUCUGCCUUUAUCAGAUGAGGAGGUGUCAGCCAAGCUUGCUGCACAGGGCAAAGCAAAGUAG